rnacentral:lncRNA from 1 species
UAUCAUAAUUACUUUAAAUAAUUUUUAUGCUAUUUUAUUAAAUUCCAGUUACAUGCAAGGGACAUAAUAAUAAAUAUAUGCAACUGUUUCUGUCAAGGCACCUACAGAAUUUCAAAUUUAUUUCCAUGUCAUUCUUGGAAAAAUAUGUCAUGCCAUUCUAACCAUUUUAUUUUUUGUAAAUGGACAUACCGAGGUGCUAAACAAAUUAUUUAUCAAUUGGCUUCAGGAAUUAACUAAUUCAGAGAAGCCAGGUUGAAAGAUUCUAGGGAAACUUUUUAGAGUAAUUGUUUCUGAGUUUGAAAUCUUUAGAGUUUUAUUCAUCAGAAUUGAGUUCUCUUCUGAACAAACAGGAAUAAUAAUGCAGAUUGAUGUCGUGGAUGAUGAAGUGCCAGAACGGAUACCUUUUUGAAUCUCUAUUUGUGAAAAAUCUGAACAGCUGCCCUCCCACGUGUUUGCGGAUAAGACCCACACACGAUGUGUGCAGAUUACUUAAAGGACCUUAAAUAGUUAUUUGGUUGGAACUUAUGCCUGGGAAAUACUUUGUCAAGGAAAUUCUGCUUCUGAAAUAGAAAAUGAUGAAAAAUAGCAAUGGUGCUUAAGAAAAAUCAUUUUCUCAAGUUUCUUGUUUGACAUGAAGAAGUGAGUUUUGGUGAUGUCAAGGAAAAAUGCAUACACAGAAAGUAAGAAAAGAUGGAAAAUAAUCCUGGGAAGAAAAUGGAACUCAUUUAUUUUCCUAUUGUGACAUGGCUUAGGAAAAUAUCAUUUAAAUCAUAUUCCUCCUGAGUAAAGAAUUGUCU